rnacentral:lncRNA from 1 species
AUUAAUUUAAAAAUAAAUAAGUCAUAAAAAAAUAUUUUUGUAAAUGCUAUAUAUGCUUUUUGUGAAUUAAAAAAUAUUUUUUUUCUAUCACAAAUACACCUCAACUUUUCUUUUUCUGGAGGAUGAAGUGUUUAAGCCAUUUAUGAAGAACUUUUUCUGUAUUUUUCUUUUUUUUUUUUCAUUUUGGUGAGUUCUUCGCAUCCUAUUAGAGAAGUUUUGGGAAAAUUAGUUUCAGAUUUGCAAGAGAAUGGGCUGGUCCAAGCACAGAGUUUUAGAAGGCCCGAGCUAUUAGUACCUCCCGAUGUAAGGUGUUUCUUCCUAAACCUCCCUUUUUCUUCCUUCACCCCCCACAAAAGCGACAAUUUUCUUCGUAGUCCCUCCGUCAUUUUAUUUUUGUUUUAAUUUUUCUAGAUUAGAUAUUUCGAAAGGUAUUUUUAAUCUGAAAAAUGACUUUCACAACAUCCCAUCCAAAAAAUAUAAAAAUUAUAUUUUAGACUGAGGCUGCAUCUAAUUAGGAUAGUGACAUAUUUUUGCAUCUGAGUGGUGAGAGGAAUCAAAAUAGAUAGAUUAGGUGGUGGAGAUAUAGGUCUUAUGUGACCAAUUUGAGAGAGAAAGUGUGUAAAAUAGAAACUAGAGAUAUAUUUAACUUUUGUAUAUUUUUUUUCCACAAUUUAGUACUUUUGAUCUUAUUUUGUAGUUUUAAACAAUUUAUAUUUAUAUAUUAAAUAACAAACAUAAAAAUAUUAAAAAAUAUUUUAUACAACUAAAAGGCAAUUUUUAAUUCAUUUUAAUUCAAAAGUU